UCCUGUGCAUGCAUCUCCGCUGAAGACUGUUGUAGCCUCGUCAAGCACCAGAACAGUCAAGCACAGUCUUCAGUGGCACCAUCCUUCUGCAGGGCGUCCUGCACGCUGCCCUUCAAUGAGAGGAGGCACCUGGUGCCCAUACACUUCAUGAAGUCCCGACUAGAAAGCCUGGAAGCUCGGAACGAGUCGCUCGUCAUUUGUUGGAGAGGCCAGUCCGCCCAUUUGCGGCCGGUCGGUGCACGACGAUUUUAGCAUCGGAGACUCCAGCAGAGUCUUCAAGUGGCAGCAACCUUUAUCAGGGCGUCCUGCUCCCUGCCUUUGAAUGAAUGGAGGCCACUGGUGCUCAAAUACUCGGCAAAAUCAGCCCAGAAAGUCUGGCAGCUCGCAGCGAGUCACUCGUCAUCGGCAGGCGAUGCCAGGCCGCCUCCUGUGCAUGCAUCUCCGCUGAAGACUGUUGUAGCCUCGUCAAGCACCAGCACAGUCAAGCACAGUCUUCAGUGGCACCAUCCUUCUGCAGGGUGUCCUGCACGCUGCCCUUCAAUGAGAGGAGGCACCUGGUGCCCAUUCACUCCAUGAAGUCCCGACUAGAAAGCCUGGAAG